GGUUAAGCGACUAAGCGUACACGGUGGAUGCCCUGGCAGUCAGAGGCGAUGAAGGACGUGCUAAUCUGCGAUAAGCGUCGGUAAGGUGAUAUGAACCGUUAUAACCGGCGAUUUCCGAAUGGGGAAACCCAGUGUGAUUCGUCACACUAUCAUUAACUGAAUCCAUAGGUUAAUGAGGCGAACCGGGGGAACUGAAACAUCUAAGUACCCCGAGGAAAAGAAAUCAACCGAGAUUCCCCCAGUAGCGGCGAGCGAACGGGGAGCAGCCCAGAGCCUGAAUCAGUGUGUGUGUUAGUGGAAGCGUCUGGAAAGGCGCGCGAUACAGGGUGACAGCCCCGUACACAAAAAUGCACAUACUGUGAGCUCGAUGAGUAGGGCGGGACACGUGGUAUCCUGUCUGAAUAUGGGGGGACCAUCCUCCAAGGCUAAAUACUCCUGACUGACCGAUAGUGAACCAGUACCGUGAGGGAAAGGCGAAAAGAACCCCGGCGAGGGGAGUGAAAAAGAACCUGAAACCGUGUACGUACAAGCAGUGGGAGCACGCUUAGGCGUGUGACUGCGUACCUUUUGUAUAAUGGGUCAGCGACUUAUAUUCUGUAGCAAGGUUAACCGAAUAGGGGAGCCGAAGGGAAACCGAGUCUUAACUGGGCGUUAAGUUGCAGGGUAUAGACCCGAAACCCGGUGAUCUAGCCAUGGGCAGGUUGAAGGUUGGGUAACACUAACUGGAGGACCGAACCGACUAAUGUUGAAAAAUUAGCGGAUGACUUGUGGCUGGGGGUGAAAGGCCAAUCAAACCGGGAGAUAGCUGGUUCUCCCCGAAAGCUAUUUAGGUAGCGCCUCGUGAAUUCAUCUCCGGGGGUAGAGCACUGUUUCGGCAAGGGGGUCAUCCCGACUUACCAACCCGAUGCAAACUGCGAAUACCGGAGAAUGUUAUCACGGGAGACACACGGCGGGUGCUAACGUCCGUCGUGAAGAGGGAAACAACCCAGACCGCCAGCUAAGGUCCCAAAGUCAUGGUUAAGUGGGAAACGAUGUGGGAAGGCCCAGACAGCCAGGAUGUUGGCUUAGAAGCAGCCAUCAUUUAAAGAAAGCGUAAUAGCUCACUGGUCGAGUCGGCCUGCGCGGAAGAUGUAACGGGGCUAAACCAUGCACCGAAGCUGCGGCAGCGACGCUGAUGCGUUGUUGGGUAGGGGAGCGUUCUGUAAGCCUGUGAAGGUGUGCUGUGAGGCAUGCUGGAGGUAUCAGAAGUGCGAAUGCUGACAUAAGUAACGAUAAAGCGGGUGAAAAGCCCGCUCGCCGGAAGACCAAGGGUUCCUGUCCAACGUUAAUCGGGGCAGGGUGAGUCGACCCCUAAGGCGAGGCCGAAAGGCGUAGUCGAUGGGAAACAGGUUAAUAUUCCUGUACUUGGUGUUACUGCGAAGGGGGGACGGAGAAGGCUAUGUUGGCCGGGCGACGGUUGUCCCGGUUUAAGCGUGUAGGCUGGUUUUCCAGGCAAAUCCGGAAAAUCAAGGCUGAGGCGUGAUGACGAGGCACUACGGUGCUGAAGCAACAAAUGCCCUGCUUCCAGGAAAAGCCUCUAAGCAUCAGGUAACAUCAAAUCGUACCCCAAACCGACACAGGUGGUCAGGUAGAGAAUACCAAGGCGCUUGAGAGAACUCGGGUGAAGGAACUAGGCAAAAUGGUGCCGUAACUUCGGGAGAAGGCACGCUGAUAUGUAGGUGAAGUCCCUCGCGGAUGGAGCUGAAAUCAGUCGAAGAUACCAGCUGGCUGCAACUGUUUAUUAAAAACACAGCACUGUGCAAACACGAAAGUGGACGUAUACGGUGUGACGCCUGCCCGGUGCCGGAAGGUUAAUUGAUGGGGUUAGCGCAAGCGAAGCUCUUGAUCGAAGCCCCGGUAAACGGCGGCCGUAACUAUAACGGUCCUAAGGUAGCGAAAUUCCUUGUCGGGUAAGUUCCGACCUGCACGAAUGGCGUAAUGAUGGCCAGGCUGUCUCCACCCGAGACUCAGUGAAAUUGAACUCGCUGUGAAGAUGCAGUGUACCCGCGGCAAGACGGAAAGACCCCGUGAACCUUUACUAUAGCUUGACACUGAACAUUGAGCCUUGAUGUGUAGGAUAGGUGGGAGGCUUUGAAGUGUGGACGCCAGUCUGCAUGGAGCCGACCUUGAAAUACCACCCUUUAAUGUUUGAUGUUCUAACGUUGACCCGUAAUCCGGGUUGCGGACAGUGUCUGGUGGGUAGUUUGACUGGGGCGGUCUCCUCCUAAAGAGUAACGGAGGAGCACGAAGGUUGGCUAAUCCUGGUCGGACAUCAGGAGGUUAGUGCAAUGGCAUAAGCCAGCUUGACUGCGAGCGUGACGGCGCGAGCAGGUGCGAAAGCAGGUCAUAGUGAUCCGGUGGUUCUGAAUGGAAGGGCCAUCGCUCAACGGAUAAAAGGUACUCCGGGGAUAACAGGCUGAUACCGCCCAAGAGUUCAUAUCGACGGCGGUGUUUGGCACCUCGAUGUCGGCUCAUCACAUCCUGGGGCUGAAGUAGGUCCCAAGGGUAUGGCUGUUCGCCAUUUAAAGUGGUACGCGAGCUGGGUUUAGAACGUCGUGAGACAGUUCGGUCCCUAUCUGCCGUGGGCGCUGGAGAACUGAGGGGGGCUGCUCCUAGUACGAGAGGACCGGAGUGGACGCAUCACUGGUGUUCGGGUUGUCAUGCCAAUGGCACUGCCCGGUAGCUAAAUGCGGAAGAGAUAAGUGCUGAAAGCAUCUAAGCACGAAACUUGCCCCGAGAUGAGUUCUCCCUGACUCCUUGAGAGUCCUGAAGGAACGUUGAAGACGACGACGUUGAUAGGCCGGGUGUGUAAGCGCAGCGAUGCGUUGAGCUAACCGGUACUAAUGAACCGUGAGGCUUAACCUU
rnacentral:rRNA from 1 species